rnacentral:pre_miRNA from 1 species
GUGUAUAUAUCUGUAUAUACAUGUGUGUAUGUAUAUAUACACACACAUGUAUAUACAGAUAUAUAUAUA